CGAGGGUGCAAGCGUUAAUCGGAAUUACUGGGCGUAAAGCGAGUGUAGGCGGCUAUUUAAGUCGGAUGUGAAAGCCCCGGGCUCAACCUGGGAAUUGCAUUCGAAACUGAAUAGCUAGAGUUUGGUAGAGGUAAGUGGAAUUCCGGGUGUAGCGGUGAAAUGCGUAGAUAUCCGGAGGAACAUCAGUGGCGAAGGCGGCUUACUGGACCAAAACUGACGCUGAGGCUCGAAAGCGUGGGGAGCAAACAGGAUUAGAUACCCGAGUAGUC
rnacentral:rRNA from 1 species